rnacentral:rRNA from 1 species
GUAGGGAAUCUUGCGCAAUGGGCGAAAGCCUGACGCAGCCAUGCCGCGUGAAUGAUGAAGGUCUUAGGAUUGUAAAAUUCUUUCACCGGGGAAGAUAAUGACGGUACCCGGAGAAGAAGCCCCGGCUAACUUCGUGCCAGCAGCCGCGGUAAUACGAAGGGGGCUAGCGUUGCUCGGAAUUACUGGGCGUAAAGGGCGCGUAGGCGGAUAUCUAAGUUGGGGGUGAAAUCCCGGGGCUCAACCUCGGAAUUGCCUUCAAAACUGGAUAUCUUGAGUUCGGGAGAGGUGAGUGGAACUCCGAGUGUAGAGGUGAAAUUCGUAGAUAUUCGGAAGAACACCAGUGGCGAAGGCGACUCACUGGCCCGAUACUGACGCUGAGGCGCGAAAGCGUGGGGAGCAAACAGGAUUAGAAACCCGGGUAGUCC